AAACAAAAACGCCACGUUUGCCUUAUUAUACACACAGAACGCAUAGUGCUUUCUGAGAUUAACUCGGUGCGUCACCUAUUCCCCUGGAUCCCCUUUCAGGUUAAAACUUACCUAUAUUUUUAACUAAGCUCAAGUGUUCUCCGCUAGGGAGAAUGUCAAUGGAAUUUUGCUGCACAGUCCCAGGAGGGCAGAGGCAACAUAGGAAUCAAAUUUUACUGUCGGAGAGGUUUUCACAGCAGAGCAUGAAAAGAACACUCUGUGCAGAGAUGACACGAUUUCAGUUCUCAAGUGAUUAGUGCUUAUAAAAGAACCAAUGACUUGGUUUCCAAUGGAAUGGAGAGAUUUCUUUGAUGAAUUUUUUUAAAGUAUGUGGAAACAAAUAUUGCAGGAAUAGAAAAGCCGCGUCUUUCCUCCUACUCCUGGUAUGAGGAUGCUGUUAACAUAGCUAUGCAGCUGAUUUGAAGAUACUUCAGUCUCCUUUCCUA